rnacentral:rRNA from 1 species
ACGCUCGACACCUACGGGAGCAGCAGUGAGGAAUAUUGGUCAAUGGACGCAAGUCUGAACCAGCCAUGCCGCGUGCAGGAUGACGGCUCUAUGAGUUGUAAACUGCUUUUGUACGAGGGUAAACGCAGAUACGUGUAUCUGUCUGAAAGUAUCGUACGAAUAAGGAUCGGCUAACUCCGUGUCAGCAGCCGCGGUAAUCUGAGCGGCUGGCAAGGC